rnacentral:rRNA from 1 species
AGUGAACGCUGGCGGUAGGCCUAACACAUGCAAGUCGAACGGCAGCACAGUAAGAGCUUGCUCUUACGGGUGGCGAGUGGCGGACGGGUGAGGAAUACAUCGGAAUCUACUUUUUCGUGGGGGAUAACGUAGGGAAACUUACGCUAAUACCGCAUACGACCUACGGGUGAAAGCAGGGGAUCUUCGGACCUUGCGCGAUUGAAUGAGCCGAUGUCGGAUUAGCUAGUUGGCGGGGUAAAGGCCCACCAAGGCGACGAUCUGUAGCUGGUCUGAGAGGAUGAUCAGACACACUGGAACUGAGACACGGUCAAGACGCCUACGGGAGGCAGCAGUGGGGAAUAUUGGACAAUGGGCGCAAGCCUGAUCCAGCCAUACCGCGGGGGGGAAGAAGACCUGCGGGUUGUAAAGCCCUUUUGUUGGGAAAGAAAAGCAGCAGGUUAAUAACCCGCUGUUCUGACGGUACCCAACGAAUAAGCACCGGCUAACUUCGUG